CUCAGGCCCUCCAGUGAGCUCGAAAACAGGCCAUUCUCGUCACUGUGCGGCCUACGGUAAUUCAGCCCACACAGCAGACACACAGGAAGCAUGCCCCACCCUCGGAGCAGUGCCCUCUGAUAGUUCUAAGGACCCCACCUUCAUUAUCCCCAGGAUCGGCUCCCAGGACCCAAGGUGUUGAAGGUGAUGGCUCCGGCUGUGCUGAUGUCCACGCUGAGCCGCUCCCCUGCAUCAAGGGGAGGAAAGUCACUGGCACACAGAGCAGAACAGUCAUGAAAAACCAAGCCGUGACACGUCAUCACGUGUCCUGCUCCAUGGAAAUGGAUGGACCUCUGGAGGCUCUUCCAGGUUGGCCGAGAGUGCUCUGACCCUCUGGGUCACCCCAGCAUCCUUCUUUUCCACCAUGAACUCUCCCAGCUGGUCCAGUCCCAACCUGCCCGCCUGCCUGGUGGCCUCAGCUGCAACUUCUCCAGUGAAUGCAGAGCAGUGGUUAGAAACCAAGAUCUGGAUCCUCCUGUGCUCCUGGUACUUACCAAGGUGUCACCUUUCCCUCAGUCCUCUCAAGGGACAGAGCCAGGUGACAUAUGUGUGUGCUCACCAUGCUUACAUGGGUAUUUGUAGUUUUCUGUCCAUCUCUCUGAGUGUACAUACAUGUACACAGACACAUGAAACGAAAAACAUGAUUCCUGCUAAUACCUCUCCAACAUUAUUUUUUGUAUUUCUUAUCUUUUCAGCCCAUCAUUUCCAUUCAUGGUAUUUCUCAGCUACUAAUCAUAGUUAUUCUAUAUCUAGUUCUAUGGCAAACAAGAGCAACAUAUCACAAAAGACCACUUAGGGGUCUUUUGUUUCCUGUUCUCCCCUUUGGUAACUAUUUCUGGUGGCUCUUCAGUGAUCAGUGGUGAAAUGUACAUGAAAAUUACAAUAGCAAAAAUACUGCACUGAACAAAAUAUACAGGCUAGUGACCGCUAUGGCCUGGACCUUACAUGUCCCUCUAAGGCCUAUGUGUCAGGCAGAGGCCUGGGCCCUGACUUGAGACAUGGCAGGAGGUGGUGGCAUGUCCUUGAGGUCACUGAGGGCCUGCCUUUUUGGGGGACCAUGGGGCUAAUAUCCAUCCCUCUCCUCUCACAUCUCCACAAUGAGGGGUGCAUUCCUGCUCUGCCUUGUACCCCCACCAAGGAGCUAGCUCGCCUCAGGCCUCAAAGCUAUGGGGCCAAUCAACCAUGGCUGGAAAUUUCAAGAUCUUUUUUCUUCCUAAGCAGAUUAGGUCAGGAAUUUGUGACAGUGGUGGCAAGCAAGCAACACAGCCACAUAUGCAGCUUCACACAACUGGAAAAUGGUGAGACAGGCUGAGCAGCACAUAAGCAAACAGUAGCCCCUCCACGGGCCUGGAGGAGGCCCCAAGUCACGGUGGAGCAGCUCCUGAGCUGGCCAGAAGCUGCUGCAGGCUCUGUAGCCUUCCUGACCCUUAGCAAGGGAAAGUGGGAAGACCCACCGAGGCACCAGGCCUACUGUCACUGCUGCCGUCAGACCAUAGCAGCAGGGAACAUGAUCCUCACAGCAUCUGCUAAAAGCUCACUCUGUGCUGGGCACUAAGCAUAUUUGCCUGUGUGAGCUCUCUGC